rnacentral:misc_RNA from 1 species
UUGUCUGCUUAUACACCAAUCCUUGAUAUUAGAGAGCCAGUGCUUAUAUAUCUUCUCAAACCUUUCGGGCAUAAUAUUCAAUUCUCCAUUUGAAACUGCUUCAAGUGCCCUCUCAGCCAAAGGCUCCAUUGUGACGAACCAUUGCUUACUAACUAGAGGUUCUAUAAUUUCUCCACCACGCUGGGAUCUAGGAACUCGUGAAGUGUGAGUCUCUUUCUUUACAGCCAAG